rnacentral:rRNA from 1 species
UACGUAGGUGGCAAGCGUUAUCCGGAUUUAUUGGGCGUAAAGGGAACGCAGGCGGUCUUUUAAGUCUGAUGUGAAAGCCUUCGGCUUAACCGGAGUAGUGCAUUGGAAACUGGGAGACUUGAGUGCAGAAGAGGAGAGUGGAACUCCAUGUGUAGCGGUGAAAUGCGUAGAUAUAUGGAAGAACACCAGUGGCGAAAGCGGCUCUCUGGCCUGUAACUGACGCUGAGGCUCGAAAGCAUGGGUAGCGAACAGG